GAGAAAGUGGGGGAUCUUCGGACCUCACGCUAUUAGAUGAGCCUAGGUCGGAUUAGCUAGUUGGUGAGGUAAUGGCUCACCAAGGCGACGAUGUAACUGGUCUGAGAGGAUGCAUCACACUGGAACUGAGACACGGUCCAGACUCCUACGGGAGGCAGCAGUGGGGAAUAUUGGACAAUGGGCGAAAGCCUGAUCCAGCCAUGCCGCGUGUGUGAAGAAGGUCUUCGGAUUGUAAAGCACUUUAAGGGAGGAAGGGCAGUUACCUAAUACGUGAUUGUUUUGACGUUACCGACAGAAUAAGCCGGCUAACUCUGUGCCAGCAGCCGCGGUACAGAGGGUGCAAGCGUUAAUCGGAAUUACUGGGCGUAAAGCGCGCGUAGGUGGUUUGUUAAGUUGGAUGUGAAAGCCCCGGGCUCAACCUGGGAACUGCAUCCAAAACUGGCAAGCUAGAGUAUGGUAGAGGGUGGUGGAAUUUCCUGUGUAGCGGUGAAAUGCGUAGAUAUGGAACACCAGUGGCGAAGGCGACCACCUGGACUGAUACUGACACUGAGGUGCGAAAGCGGGGAGCAAACAGGAUUAGAUACCCUGGUAGUCCACGUA
rnacentral:rRNA from 1 species